AACGAACGCUGGCGGCAGGCUUAACACAUGCAAGUCGAACGAUAUAGUGGCAGACGGGUGAGUAACGCGUGGAAACGUGCCUUUCACUACGGAAUAGCUUUUGGAAACGAAAGGUAAUACCGUAUACGCCCUCCGGGGGAAAGAUUUAUCGGUGAAAGAUCGGUCCGCGUUAGAUUAGCUAGUUGGUGAGGUAACGGCUCACCAAGGCUACGAUCUAUAGCUGGUCUGAGAGGAUGAUCAGCCACACUGGGACUGAGACACGGCCCAGACUCCUACGGGAGGCAGCAGUGGGGAAUAUUGCACAAUGGGCGCAAGCCUGAUGCAGCCAUGCCGCGUGAAUGAUGAAGGCCUUAGGGUUGUAAAAUUCUUUCGCCAAGGAUGAUAAUGACAGUACUUGGUAAAGAAGCCCCCGGCUAACUUCGUGCCAGCGCCGCGGUAA
rnacentral:rRNA from 1 species